rnacentral:rRNA from 1 species
CAGAUGAACGCGGGCGGCGUGCUUAAUACAUGCAAGUCGAGCGAACAGACGAGGAGCUUGCUCCUCUGACGUAGCGGCGGACGGGUGAGUAACACGUGGAUAACCUACCUAUAAGACUGGGAUAACUUCGGGAAACCGGAGCUAAUACCGGAUAAUAUAUUGAACCGCAUGGUUCAAUAGUGAAAGACGGUUUUGCUGUCACUUAUAGAUGGAUCCGCGCCGCAUUAGCUAGUUGGUAAGGUAACGGCUUACCAAGGCAACGAUGCGUAGCCGACCUGAGAGGGUGAUCGGCCACACUGGAACUGAGACACGGUCCAGACUCCUACGGGAGGCAGCAGUAGGGAAUCUUCCGCAAUGGGCGAAAGCCUGACGGAGCAACGCCGCGUGAGUGAUGAAGGUCUUCGGAUCGUAAAACUCUGUUAUUAGGGAAGAACAAAUGUGUAAGUAACUAUGCACGUCUUGACGGUACCUAAUCAGAAAGCCACGGCUAACUACGUGCCAGCAGCCGCGGUAAUACGUAGGUGGCAAGCGUUAUCCGGAAUUAUUGGGCGUAAAGCGCGCGUAGGCGGUUUUUUAAGUCUGAUGUGAAAGCCCACGGCUCAACCGUGGAGGGUCAUUGGAAACUGGAAAACUUGAGUGCAGAAGAGGAAAGUGGAAUUCCAUGUGUAGCGGUGAAAUGCGCAGAGAUAUGGAGGAACACCAGUGGCGAAGGCGACUUUCUGGUCUGUAACUGACGCUGAUGUGCGAAAGCGUGGGGAUCAAACAGGAUUAGAUACCCUGGUAGUCCACGCCGUAAACGAUGAGUGCUAAGUGUUAGGGGGUUUCCGCCCCUUAGUGCUGCAGCUAACGCAUUAAGCACUCCGCCUGGAGACGCCGAACUUUG